rnacentral:rRNA from 1 species
UACGAAGGGGGCUAGCGUUGUUCGGAAUUACUGGGCGUAAAGCGCGCGCAGGCGGUCUUCCAAGUCAGUGGUGAAAGCCUGGAGCUCAACUCCAGAACUGCCGUUGAAACUGUUAGACUUGAGUACGAGAGAGGUGAGUGGAAUUCCCAGUGUAGAGGUGAAAUUCGUAGAUAUUGGGAAGAACACCAGUGGCGAAGGCGGCUCACUGGCUCGUAACUGACGCUCAGGCGCGACAGCGUGGGGAUCAAACAGG